GACGAACGCGUGGCGGCGUGGAUUAGGCUAUGGCAAGUCGAACGGUAGGAGUACCUUUCGGGUAUCUGAGAGUGGCGAACGGGUGAGUAACACGUAGGUGAUCUACCCUCAAGAUUGGGACAACCCAGGGAAACUUGGGCUAAUACCGGAUGAAAGCAGCAGUGAUGUUGUUUGAAAGGUGGCGUAAGCUGCCGUUUGGGGAUGAGCCUGCGCUCUAUUAGUUAGUUGGCGGGGUAAAGGCCCACCAAGGCGAUGAUAGAUAGGCGGCCUUAACGGGUGGUCGCCCACACUGGGGAUUGAGAUACGGCCCAGACUCCUACGGGAGGCAGCAGUCGAGAAUAGUCUACAAUGGCCGAAAGGCUGAUAGUGCGACGCCGCGUGAACGAAGAAGCCCUUCGGGGUGUAAAGUUCUUUUAUAUGUGAGCAGUGCUUUCUAUGUGAACAGCAUGGGGAGAGAGAUAUUAGCAUAUGAAUAAGCAACGGCUAACUCCGUG
rnacentral:rRNA from 1 species